AGUGAACGCUGGCGGUAGGCCUAACACAUGCAAGUCGAACGGCAGCACAGGAGAGCUUGCUCUCUGGGUGGCGAGUGGCGGGCGGGUGAGGAAUACAUCGGAAUCUACUCUGUCGUGGGGGAUAACGUAGGGAAACUUACGCUAAUACCGCAUACGACCUACGGGUGAAAGCAGGGGAUCUUCGGACCUUGCGCGAUUGAAUGAGCCGAUGUCGGAUUAGCUAGUUGGCGGGGUAAAGGCCCACCAAGGCGACGAUCCGUAGCUGGUCUGAGGGGAUGAUCAGCCACACUGGAACUGAGACACGGUCCAGACUCCUACGGGAGGCAGCAGUGGGGAAUAUUGGACAAUGGGCGCAAGCCUGAUCCAGCCAUACCGCGUGGGUGAAGAAGGCCUUCGGGUUGUAAAGCCCUUUUGUUGGGAAAGAAAUCCAGCAGGCUAAUACCCGGUUGGGAUGACGGUACCCAAAGAAUAAGCACCGGCUAACUUCGUGCCAGCAGCCGCGGUAA
rnacentral:rRNA from 1 species